UGCUGUUUAUGAUGAUUGUUUAAUACAAUGGGAAUCUCUCUGAAUAAGAGUGAAAGACACAUUUGUACUGAAACAGUA